ACACACCGCCCGUCACACCAUGGAAGUCUGCAAUGCCCGAAGCCGGUGGCCUAACCACUUAUGUGGAAGGAGCCGUCUAAGGCAGGGCAGAUGACUGGGGUGAAGUCGUAACAAGGUAUC
rnacentral:rRNA from 1 species